AUUGAACGCUGGCGGCAGGCCUAACACAUGCAAGUCGAGCGGAUGAUGGGAGCUUGCUCCUUGAUUCAGCGGCGGACGGGUGAGUAAUGCCUAGGAACCUGCCUGGUAGUGGGGGACAACGUUUCGAAAGGAACGCUAAUACCGCAUACGUCCUACGGGAGAAAGCAGGGGACCUUCGGGCCUUGCGCUAUCAGAUGAGCCUAGGUCGGAUUAGCUUGUCGGUGAGGUAAUGGCUCACCAAGGCGACGAUCCGUAACUGGUCUGAGAGGAUGAUCAGUCACACUGGAACUGAGACACGGUCCAGACUCCUACGGGAGGCAGCAGUGGGGAAUAUUGGACAAUGGGCGAAAGCCUGAUCCAGCCAUGCCGCGUGUGUGAAGAAGGUCUUCGGAUUGUAAAGCACUUUAAGUUGGGAGGAAGGGUUGUAGAUUAAUACUCUGCAAUUUUGACGUUACCGACAGAAUAAGCACCGGCUAACUUCGUGCCAGCCGCCGCAGUAAGAC
rnacentral:rRNA from 1 species